rnacentral:tRNA from 1 species
CAUGCUAUAACUUUUGAUAGGUAUUGUUAUUUACAUUAAUGAUUUAGUUGUUUGAAUCAACUUAGUAUGA